GCCUGAGUGGCUCAGUCGGUUGAGCACCUGACUUUGGCUCAGGUCAUGAUCUCACCAUUCGUGAGUUCUAGCCCCACUUUGGGCU
rnacentral:tRNA from 1 species